UACGAAGGGUGCAAGCGUUAAUCGGAAUUACUGGGCGUAAAGCGCACGUAGGCGGAUUGUUAAGUCGGGGGUGAAAUCCUGGAGCUCAACUCCAGAACUGCCUUCGAAACUGGCGAUCUUGAGUCCGGGAGAGGUGAGUGGAACUGCGAGUGUAGAGGUGAAAUUCGUAGAUAUUCGCAAGAACACCAGUGGCGAAGGCGGCUCACUGGCCCGGUACUGACGCUGAGGUGCGAAAGCGUGGGGAGCAAACAGG
rnacentral:rRNA from 1 species